GGCUUGAUGGUCUAGUGGUAUGAUUCCUGCUUCGGGUUAGUGAUUGCAGGAGGCCCCGGGUUCGACUCCCGGUCAAGCCC
rnacentral:tRNA from 1 species